rnacentral:pre_miRNA from 2 species
ACUCACUCAAUUUGGAUGUGAUGUUCAAAUUGGCGCCACCACAACCUCCUUGAGUGAGCGA